GCAACGAUGGUCUAGUGGUCAAGAUACCUCGCCUCCAACACUUGUGACGACAAGGUCCGACCAGGCCACGUAUGUCCUCAAGUCUAGGACUGUGAGGUGGUGAAGAGUGUCGAGGAGAUCGUGAGUUCGAAUCUCACUCGUUGCA
rnacentral:tRNA from 1 species